CCUACGUGAGGCUGCAGUGAGGAAUAUUGGUCAAUGGACGAGAGUCUGAACCAGCCAAGUAGCGUGAAGGAUGACUGCCCUAUGGGUUGUAAACUUCUUUUAUAAAGGAAUAAAACGAGGCACGUGUGCCUUUUUGCAUGUACUUUAUGAAUAAGGAUCGGCUAACUCCGUGCCAUCAGCCGCGGUAAUACGGAGGAUCCGAGAGUUAUCCGGAUUUAUUGGGGUAAAAGGGAGCGUAGAUGGGUUGUUAAGUCAGUUGUGAAAGUUUGCGGCUCAACCGUAAAAUUGCAAUUGAUACUGGCAGUCUUGAGUACAGUUGAGGUAGGCGGAAUUCGUGGUGUAGCGGUGAAAUGCUUAGAUAUCACGAAGAACCCCGAUUGCGAAGGCAGCUUACUAAACUGUGACUGACAUUGAUGCUCGAAAGUGUGGGUAUCAAACAGGAUUAGAUACCCCUGUAGUC
rnacentral:rRNA from 1 species